AUGCAAGUUUUUGACACGUCCUUAUCUCCUCGCUUUAGCACUACAACUGUUGGGGUCCUAAAAAUAUUAAAGUUAAUUCUGGAAAAAGUUACAGCAAAAUCAGAAAAAAAUUAUAGUGAAGUUGACAAAGUUGACUACACCCCAAAUGUGAGCGUCGAGCAGGUCACCCACAGACUUAGGUGCUUUCUGUCCGAUAUUGUUGUCAGCAUUGACUCACAAACUAAAGAAAUAAAAAUAAAUAAACAGUUCAUACUGGUCAAUAUUUGGUACUUCUUCAAAGUUUUUUCUCUAAUGUUUGUGGAUAAAAUCCGUAGAAGAACCAAACAGACUGGUGAUAUGAUGACGAACACAAACUGAUUUAUCGUUGACACUUUGUGGUUUUUCAACUUUGACUUGCAACUCAUCUUCUAGUUUUCAUGAACAGAUGAGGUUAGAGCCCCGUUUGGAGUUCUUUGCUUUUGCAGUUCUUCAAAAAUAUUAGAACGAAGAUCCCCCAUUUUUUAUUUUUUAAUGAAUGCAAAGGUACCGUCUGACCGCCUGGCUUCUGCAAUAUUCGGCAGCUGUCAGUGUUUCUCACCAGCCACACUUCUCUCAUGCUGCUGAUGUCGAAGGACUUUUAGCAAAGUCUGCAUUUUGCACGUUUCUGGUGCAAAAUGCGUUUCAGGGUCUUUCAGUGGCAACAGUUGAUACUUCUCCUUGAAAGACCACUUAUCAUUAAAGCUACAUUUCCUGGCAUUUCAUAAUAGCAAGCUGAAAGCACCAAGCGCUGAACUGACAGCAACUCAAACUGCUUGACGGCAACGUAAACUCCAAUCACUGAAAGCAGGAGGUAGAAUUUCUGCCACAAUUUCAAUUUGAGUCUCAUAUUAAACUUUUUUUUGUAUGAUAUUUGCUCCCAAAAGAUUACAAUUUCAUGACUUUUCCAAAGAUUUACAGAUUUUUUCUUUUCAAGGACCUACAAAUUGCAUUUUCAAUUUUCAAAACCUUUCCACGUUUUUCAUUUUCAAUUUCCAAAAUCUUUCCAUGUUUUUCAUGACUGCGCUAACUCUGGUUAAAGGAGUCUCCUCCCUUCAUCUGUUUUCCAGCUGAUGCAGAGAGGCUGAUCCUACCUUCAGCUUGAACUCCAGCU
rnacentral:lncRNA from 1 species